rfam:Rhodobacteraceae bacterium GWF1_65_7 gwf1_scaffold_1206, whole genome shotgun sequence.
GGGGAUCUUCGGAGCCCUUCAACCGCGCGACGGCGACCUGACACCGGCAACGGAGCAAAGGGCGCUAUGCGCAAGCUAACGGAAGACAGAAA